UACGAAGGGGGCUAGCGUUGCUCGGAAUUACUGGGUGUAAAGGGUUCGUAGGCGGUGUGGCAAGUCGGGAGUGAAAUCUCUGGGCUCAACCCAGAGACUGCUUCCGAAACUGCUGUGCUUGAGUGUGAGAGAGGCUCGUGGAAUUGCAGGUGUAGCGGUGAAAUGCGUAGAUAUCUGCAGGAACACCCGUGGCGAAAGCGGCGAGCUGGAUCACUACUGACGCUGAGGAACGAAAGCUAGGGGAGCAAACAGG
rnacentral:rRNA from 1 species